AUACGGAGGAUGCUAGCGUUAUCCGGAUUUAUUAGGUUUAAAGGGUGUGUAGGCGGUAUUUUAAGUCAGUGGUGAAAUCUUUCAGCUUAACUGAGAAACUGCCAUUGAUACUGGAAUACUUGAGUAUAGUUGAGGUAGGCGGAAUAUGUAAUGUAGCGGUGAAAUGCAUAGAUAUUACAUAGAACACCGAUUGCGAAGGCAGCUUACUAAACCAUUACUGACGCUGAUGCACGAAAGCGUGGGGAGCGAACAGGAUUAGAUACCCUAGUAGUCC
rnacentral:rRNA from 1 species